CUACGGGCCGCAGCAGUGAGGAAUAUUGCACAAUGGGGGGAACCCUGAUGCAGCAACGCCGCGUGGAGGAUGACGCAUUUCGGUGUGUAAACUCCUUUUAUAUGUCAAGAAAAUGACGGUAGCAUAUGAAUAAGCACCGGCUAACUCCGUGCCAGCAGGCCGCGGUAAUACGGAGGGUGCAAGCGUUACUCGGAAUCACUGGGCGUAAAGGACGCGUAGGCGGGUUGGAAAGUCAGGUGUGAAAUCCUACAGCUUAACUGUAGAACUGCACUUGAAACUUCUAAUCUAGAGUGUGGGAGGGGGAGAUGGAAUUAGUGGUGUAGGGGUAAAAUCCGUAGAUAUCACUAGGAAUACCUAAAGCGAAGGCGAUCUCCUGGAACAUUACUGACGCUAAGGCGUGAAAGCGUGGGGAGCAAACAGGAUUAGAUACCCCCGUAGUC
rnacentral:rRNA from 1 species